rnacentral:rRNA from 1 species
UACGUAGGGGGCAAGCGUUGUCCGGAUUUAUUGGGCGUAAAGCGCGUGUAGGCUGCUCCGCAAGUCGGGUGUGAAAGCCCUGGGCUCAACCUAGGAAGUGCACUCGAAACUGCGGAGCUGGAGUCCUGGAGAGGAAGGCGGAAUUCUCGGUGUAGAGGUGAAAUUCGUAGAUAUCGAGAGGAACACCGGUGGCGAAGGCGGCCUUCUGGACAGUGACUGACGCUGAGACGCGAAAGCGUGGGGAGCAAACAGG